GCGGCGACUUGGCGGCGGGUGCCAUGCGUCUGGAGCUUCACAUUCUCUGCCCCCCACCCACCGCGCCGGCGCUCCCUUGUCACGCCUCGGGAAGCGCGCACCUGCCAAGCAGACAAGGUCACUCUGUCGCCGGAGGGCAGUGGCAUGAUCAUAGGUCACUGUAACCUGGAACUCCUGGGUUCAGGCAAUCUUCCCACUUCAGCUUCCUGAGUAGCUAGAAUUACAGGAUGAAUAAUCUGAUAUCAUGUGAAAUGAGGAAAUAAGAAGCUUUCUGCUGACUUCAUUUUGACCCAGGGUCCAAAAGGUGAUGUAAUCCUGUGGCAAGAAGAUUCAAAACUGUGGACUAUCUUGCAAAAAAUACAAGAAGAUAUUGAAAGUUUUCAUGAGUGCCUACCACCUAAUCUCAAACACUAUCAUUCAUAUGUGCCUCAUUGAGCAAAUCUUUAAUGAGGAUCUAUAUGCCAGCAAUAUCUUUUGCUUGGGAGCAGAAACAGAAAGUACAUGAUGGACUUCAUUGAAGGAUGGAGAUUUGGAAGACAUGAAUGGAUGAAGAACCAAGUGCGUGAGGGCACCUAUCAGGAUUAUUGCUGAAAUCCUUAUGGAGUUAACUGGCUGAGAGGAAGGCAAGCAAGCGAGGACUGAUGGGCCCUUGGCACUGUGAGAACAGUGGAGGAGGAGGGAGCAGGGUUCAUAAGGAGGAGCACAAACAGAAAGUUCAGUGGCCCCAAUAAAAAUAACACCAGAAUCUUCCAGAUACUUUCUCCAUAAGGCGAAAAGUAGAGAUGGGGUUUCACCAUGUUGCCCAGGCUGGUCUCAAACUCCUGAGCUCAGGCCAUCUGCCCGCCUCGGCCUCCCAAAGUGCUAGGAUUACAGAAGGUGCCUGCUUCCCCUUCACCUUCCACCAUGAUUGUAAGUUUCCUGAGGCCUCCCCAGACAUGUGGAACUAACAGGUUUCUCUUAUUGCCUGGAUCCAAGAGCAUCUCCUGGGUUCUUCCUGUUAGAAUACUGAAUGUCCAUGGAGAGUUUAACAUAAGGAAGAAGAGGCCUGUCUCCCAGCUGAAACUGGUGCAGCAGAUCAUGCAAAGUAAAACCUCAGCAGCUGUGAUGAAGUAGAGCAGAGGGCCUGGGUGUCUGUCAGCUCCAAGCGGAAGAUUUCCCCAGCUUUCUAGGUAACUGUGCUUCCACUGAGCAAGCCAGACACAGACUUGAAUGUCAUCACAAUCUGUGCCUGUGACAUCUUUCCCCAAGAAUAGCACAAAUUGAACUUUUACAUUCUUCAUAAUAUGGAAGGAAAGGUAUUGACUGAGCCACUUCUUUAUGCCUCAAGACAUCUCAUAUGUAUUUAUAUGGAUACAUACAUGAAUGUAUAUAUUCUGUCAUAAUAACAUAUUCUAUUUUUCUUAUUAUAGCACAGUGUUAGGAUAGGCUACAUAGGCUGCAUUAAACCCUCAAAUAGAAGUUUAUAUUAUGCAUCAGAAGCCAGUGCAGGGACUCUCCUCAGCACAACAUCUCUAAGUGGUGACUUGGAGGUUCAGGCUCCUUUCAUCUUAAAAUGCCAUCAUCUUCAGCAUUUGGCCUCAACAGUUGCCAGAGAGGGAGAAGAGAGUAUGUAUAAGACCACACUGCAGGAUCUGUGUUAGGUCUGCAAGCACUGCUGUCACCUCUGCCAAAUCCCGUUAGCCAGAACCCAAUCAUAUGGCCCCAUCCUAACUGCAAGGGAAGCCUGGGAAAGGUCUUCUUGUAUGCCAGGAAAAGAAAAUGAAAUCGACAAGUAUCUAGCCAGUCUUUGCUACAAGUUUCUACAUGUUGGAAUUAUUAUCUAUAUUUUUCUUCUGAUCAUGCUUAGCAUUUGAUACUAUGUAGACUGCCUUGUUGAGUCCUGCUGUAUUUUGUGACAUCCACAUGCAGCAUCCCAUUCCUCACAACAGGACUAGGAGUGGUCAGAAGUUUUAUCACCCACUUUAUGGACGGAAACCCUGAGACCCAGAGCAGUUACAUGGCUUGUCCAAAGUUACAUAGUACUGUUAACUUAAAAACACAAUUUAUAAAUUUAGACAAAGAAAGAGGAGACUUUAUUUCUUAUAAAGGGUUAUAGCCUUCAAAGUGGCUAUCUCACAGGCUGGGAAGCUCAGCCUUCAGCAGAAGCCCAGAGACAAGCAUUUUGAAGGCAGAGGGGUUGGGAUGGAGCUUUAUGCUGAACAGGUUGACUAAAUAUACAUAUUCAACAGGUUACAGGAGGAGCUAUGAAUAUUCAUGAGGGUGGUCCUGACACAUGCGUAUUGAACAAACAUACAUGUAACACAUGACCCAUGUUCACUUUGGGAUGGAGACUUAACAUUUCAAUGUAUUACAGUUAGGCCCUACACAUCAAAAGGUCAUUUCAGGACACAAAAGCUCACAAGUACACAAUCUCUGUAAACUAGUCAGAACCAGUCCAUGGUUGGUGGUCUUAUCAGGAAAAAGUUACUAAAAUUAGUCUCUCAUCCAAUGAAAGCUGUAGUUAUGGCUGGUGGAACAGGGGUUCAGUUGGGCAGAGUCUAUGAGCAGGAUGAUUUGCAAUUGUUUAAAUAUUGCUUAUCUUGAGGCCAGUGCUUGUUUAGCUGCUGGAGAAAAAGAAAAUCCUUGUGGCAGUUAGAGCAUAGUUUCUUCCUUAGGUGUAGGAGUACAUGACUUCCCCUCACCUGGCAUGGCCUUAGGUCCUGUUUAUAAUUCGGUAUCUUAUUGCCACAAAGAAUCUGUUCUGUGAGUCAUGUGAUCUCUAUUGGAACAUUAAUGCUGCUCAGUUGUUGUGUCUAAACCAUAAAAGAGAAGGAGAGUAUAAUUAGGCAUGUCUGACCUCUCAUCAUAGCUGGGAACUAAGUCUUUAAAUUUUUUUCUGGGGUCCUCUUGGCCACAAGGGGGUCCAUUUAGUCAGUGGGGGCCUUGGGAUUUAUUUUUAGUUUACAUUGCUAAGUGACAGAGCUUUGCUUCUUUCACUCUGAGGUUAGUGGUCUCUCUGCUGUGCCACAUUGUCUUCCCCAGAAGCUCAAACUGGAUGCCCAGCCCUCAGUGUACAAACUCAAGUAUGCAAGAAAUACAUCUUUAUUCUUUUAUGAAUAUACCUAAUUUAUAUGUUGGAAGGUGUCAGCAAUGAAUUUGAUCACUUUGGUAUUUCUCUACCUUUAAAGAUAUGUUUACAUUUGGGGUGGGAUGAAGGUUUGGUGGAGGGGAAGGUGGUCAGGUUGGGCCAAGGUAUUGGGAAAUCCAUUUGUUCCUCAUGUCAGCUGUUUGAGGAGGCACCAACCCAGAUGUCCACAGUUCCUUCUGGCCUUCCUUUACCGAUACUGAUGCACCUGUGCCUCCUUCCUGUGUGCAUGGCCCAUUUGUGCCCAGCAUCUCCCUGCUAUUUUGGGGCCACUCCAGGGUCUGGGAAGUUCUGUAGGCUUAUAACAUACAGUCAUUCUUCUCCCCAGCUUGCUGCCUCCCUGAGACACAGAGGUAGAGAAGUAGGAAAGGACCUACCGUACCCAGGCCUUUGCCCUCUCACUUUUCAUCCAUCCUUCUUCCCACCAGUGGAGGGAUGUGUUUCUAGUCUUCCAGGGAAGCUCCUCUCUCCUCAAACCAUUUUCUUCCAAAUACUUUGGCUUUAUUCCAAAUCCUCUCUAGUCCUCUGAGAUUUUUUUAUAACACAAAACACAACUUACAGAAGUUGUGUUGUUGUUUUGCUGUUUAUCUUGUCACAUUAUUUCUCUACCUUGAGGCAACAGGACAAGGGCCUGCUGUCCAGCGCACGGAGGCAGGGAGGAAGGGGUAGGGGAAUACUAAGAAAAAAAAAUUUCUCGAUCACAUGUGUACCACAUUUAACUUUAUCAGGUCCUUGUGAGGUGAGUAUCUGUGUGUCAUUGUUCUGAAACUAACAGUGAGGGGACAAAGCAUUGAUAGGAGUUCUUACAAUAUAUUUGGGAACUCGCAGGUGAGGGCCUCUCCUGCCUGAUUGGUCUUUCAAUGUACCAUCCCAACCCACCCACCUCAAUCCCCAUGGCUUGAUCCUGCUGUCUCGGUGAUCAAGCUUUCAGUUAAGAAUUGGGUGAUAAUGAGCUAGUUAAUCCAAUUUAAAAAAAAAGAAUUAGGAUCUGGGCUCAGAAGCCCCACAGCUGUGAAAGCCUGGCCGUAGAUUACUAGUCUUCUAGAUGUAGAAAAGAUUUUUCCUUUCUCUGGCUAUUUAAGUCUUUAUCAGUCACCCUGCCUCAGUUAUCAACACACACCCUAGAGUAAAUCUGUUCCCUGGGGGUGGAAAUAGAAGGGGCAUGUCAUUGUACAUCCACACUGAUGAAAGGAAAGGAAACAUUAAGAUGGCUUAAGUGGAAAGGUCACAUACGGCUUGUACUAGAGAGACACCAUGCUAAAGCAAAACAUCGUUUAAAAAAAUUCUGACUUAUCAUGUGCUCAGAAAUGCUCAAAUGGGUACAACCAUCACCAAGGGUGGGAUGGGAGGGCAGGGGAAAAAAAUAUGAAGCAUCAAAAAAAAUUCUGAUUUGUAUUUGUGAAAUUCAAUAGUAACCCUAUUCAUUAACUGGAUUUUAAAAUCAUUUCAAAGCACAUUCGGCUUUCAAAAGAUGUUUGUUUAAAUAAUACAGUUGGCUUUUGGUCAAAAAAUGAAGUUUCGGUAAUGCAUAGUAACAACUGUAGUGUAAUUACUGGCCACAAAAUACCAGGUGCCAGACCAACCCUUUUCGAACCAUUUAAGAGAACCAAGCCAAGCAAAAAUGCCCAGCCUAGCCUUACCCAGAAGUUCAAAAGCUCAGCCUUUGUCACCAGGAAAAAAUUAAUUCAAAGAGCAAAGCCAUUAUUCGGCACAACCAGGUAUUCUGUUGUAAACAUCUUUUGUUAAUACAUGUUGAAAGCUGAACUUUCUCACGUUUGAGUGAAAGAGGGCUGCUUAAAGAGAGUUUAAACCAAGCCAGGUUCAAGGUUUUUUUCUUUUCUUUCUUUUUAGAUUUCUGACUUCAUAUCUGUGGGAUCCACACAAUGGGGAGGUACUGGCCUUGGAAUCCAUGGUUCCCCAGCUAUCAUUUUACUUUAGAAUUACAGUGUUCUCUGUUAGUGUCAAGGGAAUGAACCUGACGAGAAAAGACCAAACAUAGGACUGUUACAGGGAAGAAAAAUAUGAAAAGACCUAAAGAUGCACGUCCUCAUUAUAUGUAAGGAAUCUAUUUCCUAGAAUCCUAUAAAAAGCUCAAGUGAAUUUGCUUCAGUUAAUAAAUGUGAUUUAAUUAUA
ensembl:lncRNA novel transcript